rnacentral:tRNA from 1 species
CAACAGAAUGCCUGAUUAAAAGGAUUAUUUUGAUAGAAUAAAUCAUGUAAAUUUUUUACUUCUGUU